rnacentral:misc_RNA from 1 species
GAAAUGCGAUAAGUAAUGUGAAUUGCAGAAUUCAGUGAAUCAUCGAAUCUUUUAACGCAUCUUGCGCUCCUUGGUAUUCCUUGGAGCAUGCCUGUUUGAGUAUCAUGAAAUCUUCAAAGUAAAUCUUUUGUUAACUCAAUUGGUUUCUACUUUGGUAUUGGAGGUCUUUGCAGCUUCACACCUGCUCCUCUUUGUUCAUUAGCUGGAUCUCAGUGUUAUGCUUGGUUCCACUCGGCGUGAUAAGUUAUCUAUCGCUGAGGACACUGUAAAAGGUGGCCAAGGUAAAUGCAGAUGAACCGCUUCUAAUAGUCCAUUGACUUGGACAAUACUUUUAUGAUCUGAUCUCAAAUCAGGUAGGACUACCCGCUGAACUUAAGC